rnacentral:rRNA from 1 species
CUUAGCGGCGGACGGGUGAGUAACGCGUGGGUAACCUGCCUUACACUGGGGGAUAACAGUUAGAAAUGACUGCUAAUACCGCAUAAGCGCACAGGGCCGCAUGGUCUGGUGUGAAAAACUCCGGUGAUGUAAGAUGGACCCGCGUCUGAUUAGGUAGUUGGUGGGGUAACGGCCCACCAAGCCGACGAUCAGUAGCCGACCUGAGAGGGUGACCGGCCACAUUGGGACUGAGACACGGCCCAA